UGAAUUUGUUUCUAAUCCACUUACAGUAGUGUUUCUUCCUAACGCUCUCUCUGCUGUUCUCCCGCUUUCUCAGGAAAAGGAGCUAAACAAAACACCCAAAACAGUUAUCCAGGUAUCAAAGCAGAGGAAUGGGGCACCUUCCUUCACUGCAAAAACCAGAUUUUCACAGAUUUCAGUGAAAUCCGGAAAGAGAUCAAGGAGGAAACCGAUCGCAGUACCAAUAAUAAGGGCAUCAGUCCAGAGCCCAUUUACCUGAAGAUCUAUUCCCCUAACGUACUCAGUCUGACAUUAGUUGACUUGCCUGGCAUCACUAAG